rnacentral:rRNA from 1 species
AGAGUUUGAUCCUGGCUCAGAGCGAACGCUGGCGGUAUGCUUAACACAUGCAAGUCGAGCGAGAAAAUGGCUUCGGCCAUGAGUACAGCGGCGGACGGGUGAGUAAUACAUGGAUAAUCUGCCUUUAGGACUGGGACAACCCUGGGAAACUAGGGCUAAUACCGGAUAAGACCACAGAAUCUGCGGAUUCAGUGGUAAAAGGUGGCUUUCGGGCUAUCACCUAGAGAUGAGUCCAUGUCCCAUCAGGUUGUUGGUGAGGUAACGGCCCACCAAGCCUAAGACGGGUAGCCGGCCUUAGCGGGUGAUCGGCCACACGGGGACUGAGACACGGCCCAGACUCCUACGGGAGGCAGCAGUGGGGAAUAUUGGACAAUGGGCGCAAGCCUGAUCCAGCCAUGCCGCGUGGGUGAAGAAGGCCUUAGGGUUGUAAAUCCCUUUCAGCGGGGAAGAUAAUGACGGUACCCGCAGAAGAAGCCCCGGCUAACUCCGUGCCAGCAGCCGCGGUAAUACGGAGGGGGCUAGCGUUGUUCGGAAUUACUGGGCGUAAAGCGCGCGUAGGCGGACCUGCAAGUCGGGGGUGAAAGCCCGAGGCUCAACCUCGGAACUGCCUUCGAUACUGCGGGUCUUGAGUCCGGGAGAGGUGAGUGGAAUUCCUAGUGUAGAGGUGAAAUUCGUAGAUAUUAGGAAGAACACCAGUGG